AAUGACGUGGACUAUUAUUAAAUUUAUGUGGCAGUACACAUGGCAUUUCUAACACAGUGGCAUGAGAAACUUCCUUCAUUCUUUAAUCUUACACACGCACAACACACGCAACACACAACACACACACACAUUCAAAAUGCACACGAGUCCUUCCAUUCCUCGGCUCCCAUUUCUUCUCCAGCGGCGGCGACCGCCGGCGGCCCCAAUCCCAGUCACCACUCCUUCUAGUCUCCGGCGACCGGGCCAAUAGCAGCAUCAAGACACCUCCGCCACACCACGCUGCCUCUAAUUUCUCUACAAAUUUCCUCCGUCGACCUUUAAUAUCAGAGCCCCGCCGCCGCGACUUUCUCUCCCAACCACAGAGCAUCCGAGGCCACCGAAAGCAGCCCCGGUUAGACGCCCCUUCGGCACGACUUCCUCUUCCCCCGCGAUUUCCACCACCUCGCCCCCCUGCAAACUCUCCCCCAUCAUCGAUCCGCCGCCCUCCACCAGAUUUGAGGAUAUAGAGUUUUGGGAAAAUGGGACUAAUUACUGUCCAUUUGCCGGAGAAAUCGAAGCACGAGUUUGGGCGACUUCUCGCCAGAGAAAUUGAAGCACACGACUGAGAUCCGAGCCCUUGCUAGGCGGCUUCUCACCGGAGAAAUCGAAGUACAGCAUCGAAGCACGAGACUGAGAUCCGAGCCCUUGCUGGGCGGCUCUCAUCUGUUUUAAUUUGUGAAGUUGUGGCUGAGGACGAGCGGUUGUAAGUUAACGAGAUCUCCAAUUUGUUUAGGGAUUUGGCAGCUGAGAUUGUUCUACGAUAUGCACAACGUUUCAGAAAUGCGCGAUUCGAGAUUGUGGAAGGAAUCUCUCCGAUGUUCUGCGAUAGGCACAACAUUUUCAGAGAAAGGGAGAGGUGACGACGACGUCAGCAACGCCGGUGAGGAAGAAGGGCCCUCUGUGUGUAGAGAAAGAGAAGAAAGGGAGAGACACGUCGCUUUUUUUUUAAUUAAAAAAUCUUGACAAAACGACGUCAUUUUACAUGACCGCCGGUACGUCCACGUCUGCAAAUUCCGGGAGACACGUCAUCUAAGAUUUAAGAGAUGGUCAACGCAUGUGCAAAAUGCAAUUAGAUCAAAAGGUGGUGCAUUGUGGAGCUAUUUUUUAAGGUCAUGUGCAAAAUGCAAAUUCGAUGAUAGUUCGUGUAUUUUUC
rnacentral:lncRNA from 1 species